AUCUCUAAUGAGUACAUGAUCAUAGUCAGUACAUACAUAUAAAUAAUUGUAGGAAAUGUAGGAUGAUUGAUGUAGAAGACGUUUAAUGAAAAGCAUGAGGAGGGUGAAGAAGCAAAGAAUAAGGAUUGCCUCCCAGCAGGGCUUCUAUUUAGAUUGCUUUGUUUCUUAAUGUAUUCCAUUCCAUCACGUUGAAGCAAUAUUCAAUAAUUAAUUAAAAAGAAAACUAAAAUUUUGGGCAGUCCAAAAAACAUAUUAUAUUUAGAUUGGUUUAUUUUGUAU
rnacentral:lncRNA from 1 species